rnacentral:rRNA from 1 species
AAAGGUAGCGUAAUCAUUAGUUUUUUAAUUGAAAGCUGUAUGAAUGGUCGGACGAGGUAUACACUGUCUUUAUAUAAUUUAUUGUAGAAUUUAACUUUUAAGUAAAAAGGCUUAAAUUAAACUAAUAGACGAGAAGACCCUAUAGAUCUUUAUAAGUUAAUUAUUAAUUAUGUAAGGGGUAUUUAUUAAUUAAUAAUGAAAUUUAUUUUAUUGGGGUAAUAUAAAGAUUAAAAGAAUUCUUUGAAAUAUAAACAAGAAUGAUUGGUUAAUUGAUCCAUUAAUAUUGAUUAUAAGAUUAAGUUACCUUAGGGAUAACAGCGUAAUUUUUUUAGAGAGUUCAUAUCGAUAAAAAAGU